rnacentral:rRNA from 1 species
GGGGAAUAUUGCACAAUGGGGGAAACCCUGAUGCAGCAACGCCGCGUGAAGGAUGAAGGCCUUUGGGUCGUAAACUUCUGUUCUAAGGGAAGAUAGUGACGGUACCUUAGGAGCAAGUCCCGGCUAACUACGUGCCAGCAGCCGCGGUAAUACGUAGGGGGCAAGCGUUAUCCGGAAUUAUUGGGCGUAAAGAGUACGUAGGUGGUUUUCUAAGCACGGGGUUUAAGGCAAUGGCUUAACCAUUGUUCGCCUUGUGAACUGGAAGACUUGAGUGCAGGAGAGGAAAGCGGAAUUCCUAGUGUAGCGGUGAAAUGCGUAGAUAUUAGGAGGAACACCAGUGGCGAAGGCGGCUUUCUGGACUGUAACUGACACUGAGGUACGAAAGCGUGGGGAGCAAAC